rnacentral:rRNA from 1 species
UACGUAGGGUGCAAGCGUUGUCCGGAAUUAUUGGGCGUAAAGGGCUCGUAGGCGGUCUGUCGCGUCGGGAGUGAAAACUCAGGGCUUAACCCUGAGCCUGCUUCCGAUACGGGCAGACUAGAGGUAUGCAGGGGGAGAACGGAAUUCCUGGUGUAGCGGUGGAAUGCGCAGAUAUCAGGAGGAACACCGGUGGCGAAGGCGGUUCUCUGGGCAUUACCUGACGCUGAGGAGCGAAAGUGUGGGGAGCGAACAGG